GACGAACGCUGGCGGCGUGCUUAACACAUGCAAGUCGAGCGAUGAACCCGGAGCUUGCUCCGGUGGAUUAGUGGCGAACGGGUGAGUAACACGUGAGUAACCUGCCCUUGACUCUGGGAUAACUGCGGGAAACUGUAGCUAAUACCGGAUACGACCCUCGGCGGCAUCGCCAGGGGGUGGAAAGAAUUUCGGUCAAGGAUGGACUCGCGGCCUAUCAGCUAGUUGGUGAGGUAACGGCUCACCAAGGCGACGACCGGUAGCCGGCCUGAGAGGGGGACCGGCCACACUGCGACUGCGACACGGCCCAGACUCGUACGGGGGGCAGCAGUGGGGACUAUUGGACAAUGGGCGCAAGCCUGAUGCAGCAGCGCCGCGUGAGGGAUGACGGCCUUCGGGUUGUAAACCUCUUUUAGUAGGGAAGAAGCGAGAGUGACGGUACCUGCAGAAAAAGCACCGGCUAACUACGUGCCAGCCGCCGCCGUAA
rnacentral:rRNA from 1 species